AUUGAACGCUGGCGGCAGGCUUAACACAUGCAAGUCGAGCGGGGUGAUGGUGCUUGCACUAUCACUUAGCGGCGGACGGGUGAGUAAUGCUUAGGAAUCUGCCUAUUAGUGGGGGACAACAUCUCGAAAGGGAUGCUAAUACCGCAUACGUCCUACGGGAGAAAGCAGGGGAUCACUUGUGACCUUGCGCUAAUAGAUGAGCCUAAGUCGGAUUAGCUAGUUGGUGGGGUAAAGGCCUACCAAGGCGACGAUCUGUAGCGGGUCUGAGAGGAGGGUCCGCCACACUGGGACUGAGACACGGCCCAGACUCCUACGGGAGGCAGCAGUGGGGAAUAUUGGACAAUGGGGGGAACCCUGAUCCAGCCAUGCCGCGUGUGUGAAGAAGGCCUUAUGGUUGUAAAGCACUUUAAGCGAGGAGGAGGCUCUUUUGGUUAAUACCCAAGAUGAGUGGACGUUACUCGCAGAAUAAGCACCGGCUAACUCUGUGCCAGCCGCCGCAGUAA
rnacentral:rRNA from 1 species